rnacentral:misc_RNA from 1 species
AACGCACAUUGCGCCCGCCGGUAUUCCGGCGGGCAUGCCUGUUCGAGCGUCAUUUCAACCCCUCGGGCCUUUUGGAAACGAAAAGGCCCGGUGUUGGGGCGCCUGAUCGCCGCUUAGCCGACCUGUUCGGCUCGUCGGAUCAGGGCCCCCAAUUGCAUCGGCGGGCUCGUCGUGACCCUGAACGUAGUAAUUUUUAUUUUCAAAAGAAAAAACGUCGUUCGGUUAAGGUCUCAUCGCUCUCUUGCCGCCAAUUCUUCUUCCACAGGUUGACCUCGGAUCAGGUAGGAAUACCCGCUGAACUUAA